CAGCCCAAGAUCAAGCCUCUGAAGCCGACAUGCUCAGUACGCGACACCACCAAGAAAGAUAGACGUGGUUGACAAGACCAACUUCUAUACUCCUCUCGCGCACCCACAACGGAGAACCCGUAGCGGACCUUCUAGGUUGGAACCAAAAUGCAUCCCAAAGAAGAACUACUCCUGAUUAUUCCAUAUAUACAAUUGCCAACUGAACAGCAAGAAACCGGGCCAGAGAAAGCCGCUGAAUACAGCUCGGACUGAGCUCACAAGACCUGAACAAUGAGAUUAGAGAGCCAGCACAGCCGUAGAUAUCAUGAGACAGAUACGCUCCUGGGAAAUGCUAACCCUCCGUACAGUACCACCAAGGAGUCGCAAAGUUCACUGACCAACCGAACCCACAACCUCCAAUGCCGUACGCCCUCUGCGAGAAUCGAAAGAGGGUAAUAGAUUGCUGUCGAGAUGCUGAGACCGGUGGUAACGGAGACAGCCCAAGAAAAGAACACGAGCUCGACACACUUAGAAGCUUGUCUACUAAGCUCCGGUGGUGAUGUCCAAAACAGAUUCCAGGAAGCAAAG
rnacentral:lncRNA from 1 species